UGUUUCAUUCUCCUCAUUACACAUUAAGCAUCCAUCCACUGCCUUGAUACCACGAGUUCUUAGUCUGUCUUCCACUGCCACAGCUCCUUUU
rnacentral:sRNA from 1 species